rnacentral:tRNA from 1 species
GGCUUGAUAUUCAGCCCAAGUUUCAACACUUUUAAUGUUGGGGUCCUGGGUUCGAGCCCCAGGCGGAUCA